UACGAGGGGUACUAGCGUUAUUGGGAAUUAUUGGGCGUAAAGGGUGCUCAGACGGUAUAUUAAGUCAGCUGUUUAAUUCUCCGGCCUAACUGGAGGUCAGCGGUAGAUACUGAUAUGCUAGAGGGUGAGAGAGAGAAGUGGAAUUCUCGGAGUAGCGGUAAAAUGCGUAGAUCUCGAGGGGAACACCGAUGGCGAAGGCAGCUUCUGAGCUCACUCCUGACGGUCAUGCACGAAAGCGUGGGGAGCAAACAGG
rnacentral:rRNA from 1 species